UGUAGUGCGUAUAAGUCGGCGUGGCAGUAAAUGAGCUUAGUAAGAAGUGAAGUAUGUAAAGUAAUAGCUAAGUAGUAAACAAAUUUCGAAAACUUGGUAAAAUUUGUUGUAGCGUAAGUCAAUGAACGGAGUAAGCAGUGUCUUGGUACAUAUAUAUAUCUGACGCGAUGGUGUACGCAAAAGAUGGUGGAGGAGUGGCUGGUUGAUGAGGAGGCUGGUCCAAAACUCGCAGAGUUGA